ACGUACAUGUUGGAGCGCUAGCCGAUCUAAACAUGUUUUACAGACUCAAGACUUUUCUUUUUGCUCCUGGUUAUACUCCUCUCUUUCCAACAUUGUAAACCCCAUACCUUCCACCUAGUCAGAAGUAAAGAAAGAUUAGCAGCCUUUGUAUACAAAAUGUUACACCUGAUGGAUUUCUGUGAGCUUUCAUAAUGAAAAUCCAGGGAAAAGGCACUCUUUUUCUGAAAGACAUUUUCUUUUUUUUCUUCAGCAUCAGCUGGUAAGAAGCUUUUCUCUCCUCUUCUUAGCGCGUGGAAUUAAUUCAUGUAUAAAAGGCAGAAUUAAAUAGUUUGAUAACCUAGUGUGACCUAACAUAACCGUGAAAAGGUUGAGCCACUUAAGUAUGCAGGGACAGAAUGAAUGAAUACAAUGGUGAAUGAGUCGACAGGAAAUCAAUGAAAGAAGAAGAAAGGAAGAGAAAUUAUGAGAAAUGACAUUUUAUGUAAGCGAACAAAACACUCUGUGCCAGUGUUGUCGAUUUUACAAUACUUUGAAUGUCAUUUAUUUUAGAUGUCAACCUUUUCCAAAUGCACAAUUCUUGUCUGAACUACCAACAACUAAGUGAAUGAAUUAUGAAUGAAAAAUACCACACUGUCCACCUCAGCAGCGUCUCAUUUACCUCUCCUCACCUGGUUUCCUGCCAGUUCUCCCAGCAUCCUCUCUGAGAGCUGAUUAGAGGCCCCUUCCUGUAGCAGAGGACGAGACAAGGACACUCCGUCUGCCACAGAGCUCUCAGACUCUGGGCUGCAGCUGGAUGAAGACGGAUGAUCUAAUCCUGCCAGGCGAAGGUGGGCUGAGAUGGCCGCCUGCAAGGUGACAGUCACACAGGUCUUCAUUUGAUCAGACACGAGACAGCCACACAAAACAAGAACAUCCCAUGACAAAUCAUAAAGUACAGCUAAAUCUGCAUUAUAUAAAGUAAAUGUCCUUUUAUAAAGGUCACAAUGCUCAGUACCAACCUAACAUGUGCCAAAAAGAAUCAGUAUUUGGUCAGCAUCACUCAAGUUAUUUAUAUAUUUGAAGAGACAGAAGAGAAACAAUUAUAUCUUAAAAUGAAAUGUAAAUGUCAGUAAAAUCAUUCAGAGUUGAGGGAUCUCAAAGAAAAUAGAGGUGCAGUCCAACAUAAAAAUGAAUGAUAUGAUUGAGAAUAAGUGUGAUGCUCUCUCAAAACCAAAUGGAAUCUUCUUAACCAGGUGUUUAUAUUGGGUACUUCAAGAAUACAUGUGAGCAUGUGAAUGUAUCAAAUACAAAUGAAAAGGAUACUGGGGGAAAUAAGGUGCGUUACAAUCAUAAAUAUAAAACUGCUUCUUCAAUGUACCUUUUCAUAUCAAUAGACACAUGCUGACACUGUAGCUAUUAUUGCUAAACAAAUAGCUAAACAGUCUGAAUAAAGAGGCAGUACGUUAUAGCUUUCCAACACUACAAUUAUUGAGUUAAGUCAUGACAUUUGUUCAGUUUUGUGUGCAAGUCGUGGAAUACCAGACAAUAUUACACUCUCUACGAAAAGUAGGGCAGCACAGUUUCACAUAAAAUAAGUUCAAACACGAGAGGAGUUAAUCACAAUUUGCAGUGAAAAAUCGAACGGAGAGCAACAGUAAAAAAAAUGUGUAUGAGAGUAGGAAAGACGGGUCUCCAUGAUGGAAGAGCUUUGCCUUCACCAGAGAGAAUCAUGAACAUGUUAGAGCCAGAAAACAACCUGUUCACACAAUCUGAACGGCAGAAACAAACAUAUCAGAUAGGAGAGGCCGAGACCUGAAUUACUAACCAGCUGUGUAAUCACUGGGGUUGUCAUAGCAACCAGGUUUGGAGACCGCAUGGCGGUUGUGGAUCAUGGGAGCCAGAACUUGUAUAAACUGCAGACGGUCUCACCCCUGACAAUGUUAACCUUCGACCCCGACCUGCGAUGCCUGGCUUAGCGUGUCGUCCUGCCAAAUGUCACACCCCCUGACAUAUUGAUGCCAUAUGAAGAGAGUUCAGGCUCAGCGCAUGAGAAGGUUGGAUGUAAUAUUUAUAGGCUGACCUUUACUUCACCCUGCAGCGACUAGUCUUAAAGAACUGCAUGUUCAUCUGCAGAGCAUUGUGGGAACUCAACAUGUCUCAGGUUUGAAUCCCACCUGACUCAUGUUGCCCAUGUGUAAGGGUCACUCUUGGACUCAAAUUUGAUUAAGAGGUAAAUUAGACUUUUUUUGAAUUAUUUUCUCAAAACCAACAAUGAAUGUAUCCUACUAACAAAUAGUGUAUAGUGCUCUGUUGUUGUCAAUAAACUAUUACAAAACACAACAAUGAGCCACACUGUUGCACUUGGACAUAUUACCCAAAACACAUGCUUAUUCGAACUCAAUCCCAAAUUCCAAAAAUAUAGGGACAAGAUGUUGUAGGGUUUGAAAAUAAAAAAUGUGUAAAUAAAAUGUUAUAUUCAUUUUCAGUAAAAGCCACUAAGUUUGUAGAUGAGAGCCACAGACAGGAAGUCACAAAAUCGUGAGGGACAGACUAAGACACUGAUUGCUUUUGUGUUUUUAUGGAAAAUUGUUGACUGUCAGAGAAUAACAACAGCUAGUAAAUAUCAUGCUUUUAAAUUGACCGACCAUGCCCUUGUACAUCUGUACCUGAGCAAAUGCCAAUUAAAAGUCUUGAAUGUUUAUUAUGUGUUUUGCCACAAAAGGCGUGGCAUCGUGAACAGCUUCAAAAUAGCAUAAUAAGCACUUUAUGUAAAGAACACAAUCACAGCUAUAUGAAAAUCCAAUCCUAACACAGGAGACACCUUUAACCGUAACCAGUAAUCCCUGAGGAAAAGGACUAGAGAGAUGACUUGCACCGACUUGAAGGGCCAAGAGGUAAUGAGAGUUCACAUGUUUCAUGAUGAACAAUGGAUGUGUUUUUUCUGCAUACGGCUGGGAUUGAUAACCAAAGGUUAUUUGUCAUAUUGUCAUUGACAUUCUUCCAAUCUAUACUUGUCAGUUGGGCCCGGUUAUGUUGCUUAAUAAACUGCCCUGCCUACACCAUAAAUAACAGACUAGACAGAUGUUGCUACAUUGUGUUCCAACAGCACAUCGACAGAGUAUAAUGGAUGUGAAUUAUGAUCUGUGAGAAUCUAGGCCUGCAGUCUGAUUAUCUAAGAAUAGACCUAGAUAGUCUCUGUGCAGGGUACACAGGAGAGUUCAGAGAGAUCAGGCUAUCAAUCAACAGACACAUCACAACAUUUGUCCUCGUCUCUUUUUGGUUUGGUUGAAUAAAAAUGAAUGAUAUCCUUGUUUACGGAGUGUUAGGUUUCGCAUGGAUUUGGCGAUUCAUGAGGCUAAACGUGGAUGUCUUAUUAUGUUGUAAUACAGUAUUCAACCAAAUUUAGCAAUGUUAG